UGACCAGGGACGGCCAAUCCUCAUGGGCGGAGGCCUGACCCGCCCGGCUGCGUCCAGAGCCUGGCAGAGGCACCGAGCUGGGUGAGCCACCCCAACCGCUGGACGCGCAGGGGAACGGUUCUCAGCCCUGGAGGCAGCGGCCACACUAUCUCCGUGUAGUCUUUGGGGCGAUUCUGCAAGGGCUGAGUGGGGAGAGCACGGGGCCUCCGCACCUCUCUGACCUCCCGCACCUGCUCCCUGCUCGUUCAUGACUAAGCGAUUUCCACCUCGGCGUCCGCCUGCCAAGGGGCCCGCUGGCCGCAGGGACCGCACCACGGUGCCCAGAGCCGCACACACUUCAACCCAUAAUUGGUCAUGAUCUCACCGUUCGUGAGACGGAGUCCCAUGUCGUCCGUGAGGUUGAGUUCGGCGCUGUCAGUGAGGAGCCUGCUUGGAAU